rnacentral:rRNA from 1 species
UACAUGGGGUGCAAACGUUGCUCGGAAUUACUGGGCGUAAAGCGUGCGCAGGCGGUUUUGUAAGCCAGAUGUGAAAUCCCCGGGCUUAACCUGGGAAUGGCAUUUGGGACUGCAAGGCUUGAGUGCGGCAGAGGAGACUGGAAUUCCUGGUGUAGCAGUGAAAUGCGUAGAUAUCAGGAGGAACACCGAUGGCGAAGGCAGGUCUCUGGGCUGACACUGACGCUCAUGCACGAAAGCGUGGGGAGCAAACAGG